GCCAUUGUGGUGUAGUGGUUUCAGUGCUGGACUAUGACUUUGAAGACCCAGGUUCGAAUCCUGGCUUGGCC